rnacentral:lncRNA from 1 species
CUCCAUUUCCUUCAAAAUUUAAAUUCUUUUAAGAAAGGGCAAAAAAAAAGAAAAAAAGAAAACAGUCUAAUAAGCUGUCUAUUGCAAGGGUCUUUCUUUCAUUUUUUUUUAAUAAGAAAAUGUUUAAUUAUCAUAAAAUCUGUUAAGAUGUCAAAAUCAUCCUAUAGCCUCCAUAAAUAGAGGUUUUAUAACUUCUAUGACACUUGUCUCUCUCUUCCUCCCUCCCACCGUCCUAUAUCACUCGCUUCUCCUAAAUAAACUCUUUUUUCUUUGCAUUUCAUCCUGGCUUCCGAAUAAUUACUUUCCACAUCACCAGUGUUCAUUGAGAAUCUCUGGCUUUGCAUAGAGCAAUGNNN